UAAGCGGCAGGUGCGGGGGAGCGGAGCACACGCACAGGCGGCGGCUGCGGCGGCCCGGCGGUAGCGGCGGGCGGGCGGGCGCCUUUGGGCUCGGCGGGAGCCGCGGCGGAGCGGAGCAUGUCGGUGGCGACCGGGGGCAGCGAGGCAGCGGCGGGAGGCGGCGGCGGGAACCGCGUUUUCUUCCAGAGCCCCCGCGCCGGCGGCGGGAGCGGCGGCUCCUCCGGCAGCACCUCCCGGGAGGACUCGGUGUCGGCGGCGGCGGCGGUGGUGCAGGUCCAGCAGCGGCGCCACCAGCAGGGGAAAGUGACGGUGAAAUACGAUCGGAAGGAGCUGCGGAAGCGGCUGGUGCUGGAGGAGUGGAUCGUGGAGCAGCUGGGGCAGCUCUACGGUUGCGAGAAACUCAGUGCUAACCAGAAGCAUCGCUCUGAUUUUGGUCUGGACUUCCAGGAGAUGCAGAGGAUCUCUGAUUUAUAUCAAAGUGCUUUGGAUUCCAGGAAGAAGAGAUGCCAGAAGUAGAAAUUGACAUUGAUGACCUUCUUGAUGCAGCUAAUGAAGAGGAGAGAGCUCUCAAAUUACAGGAAACUCUUGUAGAUUGCUACAAACCAACAGAGGAAUUUAUCAAAGAGCUGCUAACUCGGAUAAGAGGAAUGAGGAAACUCAGUCCCCCUCAAAAGAAGAGUAUAUAAAUAACUUG